GACGAACGCUGGCGGCGUGCUUAACACAUGCAAGUCGAACGGAAAGGGCCUGCUUUUGUGGGGUGCUCGAGUGGCGAACGGGUGAGUAACACGUGAGUAACCUGCCCUUGACUUUGGGAUAACUUCAGGAAACUGGGGCUAAUACCGGAUAGGAGCUCCUGCUGCAUGGUGGGGGUUGGAAAGUUUCGGCGGUUGGGGAUGGACUCGCGGCUUAUCAGCUUGUUGGUGGGGUAGUGGCUUACCAAGGCUUUGACGGGUAGCCGGCCUGAGAGGGUGACCGGCCACAUUGGGACUGAGAUACGGCCCAGACUCCUACGGGAGGCAGCAGUGGGGAAUAUUGCACAAUGGGCGGAAGCCUGAUGCAGCAACGCCGCGUGCGGGAUGACGGCCUUCGGGUUGUAAACCGCUUUCGCCUGUGACGAAGCGUGAGCGACGGUAAUGGGUAAAGAAGCACCGGCUAACUACGUG
rnacentral:rRNA from 1 species